UUCAUGCCAUUCUCGAUUAGCAUACGGAAAAUGCAACCAAACAAUACAGACGCUCUCAACUUGUUCGAUAUCCUUUGUAGGACGAACAGAACAUAUGUGUCAUUUUACGCCGCCAUAUAUAAAUUUGAAAGACCCAAAUACAGUACCUGUUGUGGACAGAAUGUAUAGCAUUUCUUCUAAACGAAGCGAAGUUUCUCUUAACGAUUUCAUGCCAUUUUUGAUCGAUACCAAAGCAAUAUAUUAUAUCAUUUCUCAAGCUUCCAAGUGUUUUCACCUUGCCGAAAUUGCCCUCAUAACAAGUCUCG